UACCAGCUCCCCGAGUGGUGGGGAUGAUUAUUGGGCCUAAAGCGUUCGUAGCUUGCUCAAAAAGUCUUCUGUUAAAUCCAGCGACCUAAUCGUUGGUCUGCAAAAGAUACUUUUGGGCUAGAGGGCGGAAGAAGCCGACGGUACUCUUGGGGUAGGGGUGAAAUCCUAUAAUCCUAAGAGGACCACCAGUGGCGAAGGCGGUCGGCUAGAACGCGCCUGACGGUGAGGGACGAAAGCUGGGGGAGCGAUCCGGAUUAGAUACCCCAGUA
rnacentral:rRNA from 1 species